rnacentral:rRNA from 1 species
GUGGCGAACGGGUGAGUAACACGUGAGCAACCUGCCCUGGACUCUGGGAUAAGCGCUGGAAACGGCGUCUAAUACUGGAUAUGAGCUGUAACCGCAUGGUUCGCAGUUGGAAAGAUUUUUUGGUUCAGGAUGGGCUCGCGGCCUAUCAGCUUGUUGGUGAGGUAAUGGCUCACCAAGGCGUCGACGGGUAGCCGGCCUGAGAGGGUGACCGGCCACACUGGGACUGAGACACGGCCCAGACUCCUACGGGAGGCAGCAGUGGGGAAUAUUGCACAAUGGGCGAAAGCCUGAUGCAGCAACGCCGCGUGAGGGAUGACGGCCUUCGGGUUGUAAACCUCUUUUAGCAAGGAAGAAGCGAAAGUGACGGUACUUGCAGAAAAAGCGCCGGCUAACUACGUGCCAGCAGCCGCGGUAAUACGUAGGGCGCAAGCGUUAUCCGGAAUUAUUGGGCGUAAAGAGCUCGUAGGCGGUUUGUCGCGUCUGCUGUGAAAUCCCGAGGCUCAACCUCGGGUCUGCAGUGGGUACGGGCAGACUAGAGUGCGGUAGGGGAGAUUGGAAUUCCUGGUGUAGCGGUGGAAUGCGCAGAUAUCAGGAGGAACACCGAUGGCGAAGGCAGAUCUCUGGGCCGUAACUGACGCUGAGGAGCGAAAGGGUGGGGAGCAAACAGGCUUAGAUACCCUGGUAGUCCACCCCGUAAACGUUGGGAACUAGUUGUGGGGACCAUUCCACGGUUUCCGUGACGCAGCUAACGCA